GAUUAAGACAGCAGGACGGUGGUCAUGGAAGUCGAAAUCCGCUAAGGAGUGUGUAACAACUCACCUGCCGAAUCAACUAGCCCCGAAAAUGGAUGGCGCUUAGCGCGCGACCUACACCCGGCCGUCGAGGCAAGUGCCAGGCCCCGAUGAGUAGGAGGGCGCGGCGGUCGCUGCAAAAACCUUGGGCGUGAGCCCGGGCGGAGCGGCCGUCGGUGCGGAUCUUGGU
rnacentral:lncRNA from 1 species